ncrna:Pseudomonas sp. M1 ivy-DE RNA
UGACCAGGGGGCCGGGAUGCUGGGGGGAGUGGUGAGCCCGCAGCGACCCAGGGGUACAGGGAGUGCCUCCGACGAGGGCCGGGUCAGGUGUGAG